rnacentral:rRNA from 1 species
AACGCGAAGAACCUUACCUACCCUUGACAUGGUCGGAAUCCUGCUGAGAGGUGGGAGUGCUCGAAAGAGAACCGGCGCACAGGUGCUGCAUGGCUGUCGUCAGCUCGUGUCGUGAGAUGUUGGGUUAAGUCCCGCAACGAGCGCAACCCUUGUCCUUAGUUGCUACGCAAGAGCACUCUAAGGAGACUGCCGGUGACAAACCGGAGGAAGGUGGGGAUGACGUCAAGUCCUCAUGGCCCUUAUGGGUAGGGCUUCACACGUCAUACAAUGGUCGGUACAGAGGGUUGCGAAGCCGCGAGGCGAAGCCAAUCCCAGAAAACCGAUCCCAGUCCGGAUCGGAGUCUGCAACUCGACUCCGUGAAGUCGGAAUCGCUAGUAAUCGCGAAUCAGCUAUGUCGCGGUGAAUACGUUCCCGGGUCUUGUACACACCG